rnacentral:rRNA from 1 species
CAGUCGCCACGGGAAUACAGAGGGUGCAAGCGUUAAUCGGAAUUACUGGGCGUAAAGCGCGCGUAGGUGGUUUGUUAAGUUGGAUGUGAAAUCCCCGGGCUCAACCUGGGAACUGCAUCCAAAACUGGCAAGCUAGAGUAUGGUAGAGGGUGGUGGAAUUUCCUGUGUAGCGGUGAAAUGCGUAGAUAUAGGAAGGAACACCAGUGGCGAAGGCGACCACCUGGACUGAUACUGACACUGAGAAGCGAAAGCAUGGGGAGCGAACAGGAUUAGAGACCCCGGUAGUCCCUGUCUCUUAUAC